rfam:Dipodomys ordii contig_22863, whole genome shotgun sequence.
GGUGGCUCAGUGGUAGGGUGCUUGCCUUGCAUGCAUGAGACCCUGGGUUCGAUUCCUCAGCACCA